rnacentral:tRNA from 2 species
GAGGUAGCAGGAGAUAGGUUCUGCGUAUGGCUUGAAACCAUAAGGUGGGGGUUCAAUUCCUCCCUUCCUUG